GGGCCAGUCAGCCCCGAACCCGCGAAAGGCUCCUCACUCCUGCCAGCCUUCGUCAACGAAAUCACAGCCCCGAGAGGCAGCUGGAGCUACACCGGCGGCAGGUUUAAAUGUGUAUUUGGCUACUGGC
rnacentral:lncRNA from 1 species